rnacentral:tRNA from 1 species
AGUUAAAUUAAAACAACUGGUUGGAAAUUGACGGGUCGACUUUUAACCAAUUGGUCGAUGGUUCGAAUCCAUCACGGCCCACCA